AUACGUAGGUGGCAAGCGUUGUCCGGAUUUACUGGGCGUAAAGGAUGCGUAGGCGGAUAUUUAAGUCAGAUGUGAAAUACCCGGGCUCAACUUGGGUGCUGCAUUUGAAACUGGAUAUCUAGAGUGCGGGAGAGGUAAGUGGAAUUCCUAGUGUAGCGGUGAAAUGCGUAGAGAUUAGGAAGAACACCAGUGGCGAAGGCGACUUACUGGACCGUAACUGACGCUGAGGCAUGAAAGCGUGGGGAGCAAACAGGAUUAGAUACCCUGGUAGUCCACGCCGUAAACGACGAAUACUAGGUGUAGGAGGUAUCGACCCCUUCUGUGCCGCAGUUAACACAAUAAGUAUUCCGCCUGGGGAGUACGAUCGCAAGAUUAAAACUCAAAUGAAUUGACGGGG
rnacentral:rRNA from 1 species